AAUGAACGUUGGCGGCGUGGAUUAGGCAUGCAAGCCGUGCGAUAACCCCGCAAGGGGGGAAAGCGGCGAAAGGGAGAGUAACGCGUGGGUACCUGCCCCUUGGUCCGGAAUAGCUGCGGGAAACUGCAGGUAAUGCUGGAUAAUAUCCUCGGAUCAAAGGUGUGAUUCCGCCGAGGGAGGGGCCCGCGUUCUAUUAGCUAGUUGGUAGGGUAAUGGCCUACCAAGGCGACGAUGGAUACCGGGUGUGAGAGCAUGACCCGGCUCACGGGGACUGGGACACUGCCCAGACACGUACGGGUGGCGGCAGUCGAGAAUCUUCGGCAAUGGGCGCAAGCCUGACCGAGCGACGCCGCGUGCGGGAUGAAGGCCGUCGGGUUGUAAACCGCUGUCGUAGAGGAGGAAAUGCCAUGGGGUUCUCUCCAUGGUUUGACCUAUUCUAGGAGGAAGGACGGGCUAAGUUCGUGCCAGCCGCCGCGGUAA
rnacentral:rRNA from 1 species